AGAGUUUGAUCAUGGCUCAGGAUGAACGCUGGCGGCGUGCUUAACACAUGCAAGUCGAACGGGAAACAUUUCAUUGAAGCUUCGGCGGAUUUGGUCUGUUUCUAGUGGCGGACGGGUGAGUAACGCGUGGGUAACCUGCCUUAUACUGGGGGAUAACAGCCAGAAAUGGCUGCUAAUACCGCAUAAGCGCACAGGACCGCAUGGUCCAGUGUGAAAAACUCCGUGGUA
rnacentral:rRNA from 1 species